AACGAACGCUGGCGGCAGGCUUAACACAUGCAAGUCGAGCGCCCCGCAAGGGGAGCGGCAGACGGGUGAGUAACGCGUGGGAAUCUACCCAUCUCUACGGAAUAACGCAUGGAAACGUGUGUUAAUACCGUAUACGUCAUUCGGGAGAAGGAUUUAUCGGAGAUGGAUGAGCCGGCGUUGGAUUAGCUAGUUGGUGGGGUAAAGGCCUACCAAGGCGACGAUCCAUAGCUGGUCUGAGAGGAUGAUCAGCCACACUGGGACUGAGACACGGCCCAGACUCCUACGGGAGGCAGCAGUGGGGAAGAUUGGACAAUGGGCGCAAGCCUGAUCCAGCCAUGCCGCGUGAGUGAUGAAGGCCCUAGGGUUGUAAAGCUCUUUCACCGGUGAAGAUAAUGACGGUAACCGGAGAAGAAGCCCCGGCUAACUUCGUGCCAGCAGCCGCCGCUGUAA
rnacentral:rRNA from 1 species